CUAUCAUUUAGCCUCUUCCCCAUGUCAUCUUCGUUUCCUCCUUUCAUGAGCUCGCUUGAAAGGCAAUAUUGGUGAUAGCUGACAGCAGGCAUGCGAGCGCAAGAGAACAUAUUUGCUGACUUAUAUUUUAAAUGAGCUCCAGAGGACUGAGAGAACACUAGUCUGCUGCUGACAAGGAUUUCAAUUCAAGUGAGAACACCGUCCUCAUGUCGGCCCCUGCGACCUUUAACCUUUCCACCCUCGGCGAGGUGAAGCCCGGCGGGGCGCCGGAGGCCGGCGCGGCCGCCUGUCCUCAGGUGUUCAUGGUGGACAGCCAGGCCAGCUACAUCAGCAUGCCCAAGCAGAGGAAGCCCAGGACGACCACGGCUCACAGGCUGCUGCUCCUGCUGGUGGGCCUGGCCUUGCUGGGACUGCUCUUAGAAGGAUAUUUUAUCUACAAACUUUAUCAAAGG